rnacentral:tRNA from 2 species
GCGGGUGUGGCGGAACUGGCAGACGCACUGGAUUUAGGUUCCAGCGCCGCAAGGCGUGGGGGUUCAACUCCCUCCACCCGCACCA